CGCCGGGCUUGGGAUGCGCGCCCCGCGAGGUCCCGUCGGACACAGGCCCCCCUGGUGAGACAGCCAGGACCGGGACCACGCUUGACGGAACAAAGGCCACGAGCCAAAGACAGGGCUGGUUGUUGUGAGGAUUAAAGAUCAUGUCUGUAAAUUCUCUGCCACGUGCCUAGGAUUCUCCCCAGGAUGAAAUCUGGAGCAGUGAGGAUCCGUGGCUGGCUCUCAGGUGCGCAGCAACAGGUGGUGUUGAGCACUUUACACCAGAAGAGCUCAGCCCCGGACACCUACACAUGAAUUGCUCUAUUGUGCAAGCCAGAAGCAUUAAUCCUAAGAGCAAGAAGAAAGAUCUUUACACACCUUAAUAUAUCACUUCCUUUGAGGGACGCCAGCCACCAUGUUGAGCAGUCCUAUGAAUAAGCCUUUCAGUGAGGAACUAAGGCCUCAAGUCAAUAGCCAUAUGAGGGCGCCAUCUUAGAAGUGGAUCCUCCAGCCCCAGUGAAGCUUUCAGGUGACUGCAGCCCUUGCCAACCUCUUGACUGCAACCUCACGAGAGACUCUGGGCCAGAAACAUCCAACUAAGCAGCUCUCAAAUUCUUGAGCAUUAUUCACAAUAGCCAAGACUUGGAAGCAACCUAGGUGCCCAUCAAGGGACAAAUGGAUAAAGAAGAUGUAGUGUAUAUAUACCCGAUGGAAUACUACUCAGCCAUAAGAAAUGAUGAACUCCGUCCACUUGUGACAACAUGAAUGGACCUUGAGGGCAUUAUGGUUGUGUGAGGCCACGAUCUUGUGCCAAGGAGAAGACAAGCUGAAAGAUGGAAGGGUGUGAAGCAGAGCGCGGCUGAACAUAAGGACAGAAAGCGCCUGGAACCUUGCAGACACAACUGAGCGGCUGCAUCAAACCUGGCUUGCCUCCUUCCAAGCUUCUCCUUAGGUGUUUUUGGACAUUUCUCCAAGAGUGGCCAGAAGACCAUUGCAUCAGAUGAGCACCUGGAGUCUUGUGAAAAACACAAAUUCCAUAGACAUCCUGAAUUUUAAUCUGCAGGGGUGGCGUUGGAGGGGAUGAGAAGAGAAGCCUAGGAUUCUGCAUUUUAAAGGGGCUUCUCAGGGGAUGGUUGACUGGUAAAUUUUAGGAAUCAACUACCUAGGGAAUAGCAAAAUGUUCCCUUAGAUGGGCCAAGGCCUGGGGGAUCUAUUUCUGCUGAAGCUCAUUAAGCCACUUUGGGUUUAUGUUCAUGAGGAAACCACAACCCCAAGACGCAAGUGAGGAAUAAGAACACACAGUUUUGAGAAGAGGAAUUAAGUAAUAACCAACAAUGCUUCCACGUCUAAGAAUUUUUAUAACAUUUCUCCAGUAGGAACACCACAACACGUUUACCCUCUUUCUAUCCUUACUUUGCCUGCAGCACAAGUUUUCUUACAUAUAGAUGCUCAAAAAAUGCCCAUUACAUUGACUUGAAUGUAUUCCCCUUUGAAGAGCCAUACUUUCAACAAGUACUUUCAUAUAUUUUUUACUGGUGGUGUUUGGACAAGCUUACGUGUAUACAUGGGCAAGGGGCAGAAGCAGUGAUGGUGAACAAAAGUGGGUUUCAUAAACAAGAGAGAUAAAACUUAGCGAGUUGCUGAGGAGACAGGUUGUAGCAGGAAACAUAACUACAAGUUCUCAUUUUGGUUUACUUCCUCUCUUGCCUUGGGAUCUUAAGCAAGCUACUUUCAUUUCUCUAUUUCAACUGGGCCUCUUUUUUUUUUUUUUCUUUUUUUAAGGAAUAUGCUUUGUGGAAUUAUUUUAAGAAGUAACUAAUACGAGAUCGGAAAGCACCUUUUCCUCUUAGCCAAAAUUGUGCACAAGAGAAUCUCCACUCUCUGGGCCAGUUCAAUGAAAGAAGUGAAUUUUCCUUUUUUUCUCUUUCUUUCCUCCUUUCUAUAAAGUUCAUUCACUUAGUAAA
rnacentral:lncRNA from 1 species